UAGUUGUGCGCAUGACCUAACGCAAUGUCAUAGUGACACAUAUUUUCUCUGAGAUAAGUAUUUUCAAAGUGUAUAUUUGUUAAGUUUCCAAUGGACUUUUAUUGUUUUCAGCAUUAUUGAUUUUUCUGGGGUCAUGUUUUCGAGUGACAACAGGCUGUCAACGUAUACGAGAGGAGUAAAAUAGGAUUAUUAUUUGGACAUCAGAGUAACUGGCUACCUUAUGCGUAACUGUAAGAAUGCACUUGAGGCAUAGGAACAUUAGGACGAUCUACCCUAAAGAAAUGUAUAAGAGUGAGGUAUAUUAAUGGUAAAUAUUAGUGUCGCGAGGACGACUAUGAUUAAACAAUAUUUCUUAUUAAUUUGACAUGCCUGUAUUAUAUCUAUUUAUUUAAUUUGACUCUGCAGGGUCUGUUCUGAGGCUUAGAAUCAGCUCAGGAUGGGCCAGAAAUUGUUAUUCUGCCAAAUAUUAAUUUAUUUUUCGUGUUUGCGGGUUAACCCGUGGGAAUGCUCUUUGGAGAAGGACACCAAUGGUCUCUCGAGCUUUGGAAGGGAGUGCAGUAGUAAUCAGGCACUUCUGGGAGUUGGCAAGCAUGUCGAUGCUGUACCUGGACACUCUGGAUAGGCCAGGAUAAGGAAACAUUGGGAAUGUGGUAAUUCCGUAAAUUCCUGUUUCUGGAGUUUAUGGGCUCUGAUAUGAGCGAAUAAAUAUCAUGCGUCAUGGAGCUGGUGUUCAGCAAGUAUCAGGAUAGGAGUUGUUCAACUCUGAAGGAUCAAGGAUGCAUGCUGGAAUUUAAAGGCAACAGUUGGAGAGUGGUGAAUUGUUUUUAUAAAAAUUAUCUAUGUUAUUUAUUUUCGUGAAGUUUCUCGUCAUCAAUUAUAUUUUUAUCGAAAAAAAUGUAAUGAGACUGAGCUUCAUAGCGUAGAUUAAUAAAAUGUUAUUUGACUCUA